GUGAUUUAUGCUAGCUUGAUGAAUUUUGUCAUCUUCCUUUCCCUUCCUUUGAAAGGAAUUCAGUAAUUGAGUAGUUGCCAGACUUACUGAGAUAAUCUAUGCUAAAUGAAGCAAAAUAUGAAGAAAUGGGGAAGCAAAGAGGUGCAAACACUUAAUGGCUCAUAGGAGCAGAUGUGCCUUUUGUCUGGGAUGGUGUGUCAGAGAGGAGGCGCGAGAAGUUAGAACUCACCACCAGGAGCUGCUGGGCAGCUUCUGCAUCUGCCUCUGGUCUUUGAGCAUCUUCAGCUGCUGUAAUUUAGAUACUUCAAGGGUUCUGUUUAAAUUGAAACUACUGCAGCAUUAUAUGCAAAGAGAAACCAAUCUCAGAGGGGGAAAAAAAGAAGAACCAAAUAUAGAUUAAAAAGCUGCCUCUCCAAAGGUUUUGAAAUAUGAGAAGCCUGGC